GGUUGUGGCUCAGUGGUAGAGUGCUUGCCUAGCAUGUGGGAGGCACUGCGUUCAAUUCUCAGCACCA
rnacentral:tRNA from 1 species